CAUCCCUGGCUUCUCAGAGUUUUGACGGUGCCGUAUCGUCCGUGUGGGGCCGCCACCGCCCACCCUCUUUUUUUCUGCGCUAUCAUCUCAAGUCUCAACUCGGCCUGAUCCAUCCGUCACCGCGAUUGAAAGGGAGAAGAGAGGGCCGGAGCUGGAGUAUUGCCGUCCACCUCGCCGGAGCCGGCGACGCCGUGGCUCUCCAUGGCGGACAAAGGGACGGCGAACGAGCCACCGGCGAGCUAAAUACUUAGGGUGGGUGGGGGUGCAGGGUUCGCCGCCGCCGGAGAUGAACGGGUCGCAGCGGACCUUAGAGGGACGCCGGGGGCUGUGGAGGACCGGCGGAGGUGGAGCUUUGGGGAGUGCAAGGCGGGGGCGGUGGUGGUAAGUUCUUCUUAUUCCUCUUCCCUUUCCUCUUCUUUCUAAGACGCCCCUGCAGGCUAGGAUUCCCGGCGGGCGGCGGCCGCCCCUACUACUCUCGCCCUCGCCACCAUCCACCAAUGGAGUCAACCAUGGGGAAUGCCCAGUUGCCCACGUAGUGGGAGCGACAGGUUGUCUGGCACCGGCGUGAUUACCAGGGAGAGUGGUGGUAGCGGCAUGGAGUUGGUGCCGUGGGGGAUCUGCUGCGUGAAGGCUAUUGAGGGGACGGGCUGGGGAGCAAGGUGCGCACACACAAGGACGUCGGCCCUGUGGAUCAACAUGGUGCGCAUGAGCGAUGAUGCUUCCUCGGUCCCUCCACCAUGUCAAGGAGGCCUACAGGUGCGGCUUCUGUACCAGUAAAUUCCACCCCCUUCGUCAAUUCUGCAGUAAUCCACCCAUCCUCUUAUCUCUUUCCUCCUUCCAAGUUCCAUCCCUUGGUUUAGGGCUUUAGGCUGUCGCAAGGUGAACACUAGAUUUGUCCAAUAUGGUACUAGGCUUUUUGUCCAUGAAUAAUAUAUUUUUGCUGAUAUGCAACCACUUAUUUAGAUUCUUGCUGAAUUUUCCAGGGAUCUAGAUAUUAUAGUGAUGCUAAGUGCUAUAAAAAGGGUAAAAGAUUUCUUGAAAGAGAUGGCAAAGUCGAAUUAAAAAUUGGAAUAAUAGAGCUUAGUUAAUUAAAAUAUGCUAUUAUAUGAUACACCAAAUGGUGUGUAACUUCCAGCAAAUUAGUUCAGGGCUGAUACAAAAAUAGCUUUGCUAAUUUUCUAUUGUCAGCAUCUCAGAUACUAAGGUUUUAUUGUCGUUUCAUUCCACUUGGUUUCACUAUAUGCAGUAGUUGCAAAUUUAUAUACUGUCACAUUACCAAUUAGUCCACAUCGUUUGUUGGUACUGAACAAUUCUUGGCUAUGGGGUGUGUCUCCUACCUAAUUUCCUUUCUUAUUUGAGAAUAUAGUCUUGCUGCAAAUUCAUUCAGUUCUUCUGCAUUUUGUCUCAAAAAUAUACAACCACAUAUUGUGGAUGAAUCAACUCUUGGUGCAAAUACGUAUUAUGAAUUAAAAAAAGUUUCCCUUACUGUGAUACCAACAUCAAUAUUGACACUAGGGUUUGAGGGCCAUGAUGGCCAUUUAUGCAACCGGAUGAGUUUCCUUUGCCGAUGAUAAAAACAUGGACAUGGACUCUAGGUGUUAAGGCCACCAUGGCCACUGAUGUGUGUGUGGCUACAACAUAAAGUGUAUGUGUUUUUAAUCAAAUCAUUUAUAUCUUGGUUGGAGUUCUGAUUUGUCUAGGUGAGAUUCCUUUCCUUCUACAAACCCCAUCAAGGUUUAUUUUACGUAUUUUUAAUGUCACUGAUUAUCUUAUCCGUGCCAUUUUUGCUCCUCAUUCAGCAAAAUCCAUAGAUGCAGAAGCUGCUUAGUAAUGUAUUCAGAAGGUUUUUGUUAGUUCAGUACUUGCAAAAGGUUGCUCCAUUUUGUGUGUAAGGUUGAUGCUUUCAUCGUAUUUUCAGAAAUAUAAUUUCCUUUUUAUGAUAUCUUCUAUACCUUCAUAUUAUGUCUUUGGCACAACCUGCUCACAACUCAUGAUGUUAAAGAAUAAACUUUAGCUGGACUUGAAGGAAACAUGUCAAUCCUUCCUAAUUCAAUCUCUUAUUGUCUUGGAGUAUCUACUUCGAAAUGAAUAUGCAUGGUACAUAUCUCUGUUAAAGACAAAGAGAAAUAUCUCAUAAGAAGAUCAGUACUUCUGGAAAGUUGAGCUCACUUCUUUUUGUUGUUUUUUGUAUAUCUCAUAAGAAAAUCUUAUAAAAAAAAUCUUAGAUCCAGAUGUUGUGAACUGGCCAUGUUAAUGUUACAGAACAUGAUACGAGCUCACUGGAGCAAAAAAAAAUCAAUUUUACUACAAUUUUGCAUGCCAUAGCAUCAACACAGGUUUUGUCGGAAUGAAUUUAAUUAUGUCCUAAUUAUUAAUGUUUACAUUUAGAUGUGUAUCUUACUUUAUUUAGGAUAUGUGUUAUCGAAGGCCAAAUGCACGCAGAGAUAUUGUAUAACACUCUAAAGUUUGAUGUUCUAUAGUGGAUUCUUUUUCACAAAAUAAAAUUUAUGUUUGUACCUUUCACAUGUACCCGUCAUUCUGAAGUUUGAGGUUCCAAAAGGAUUUCUUUUUGACAAAACUUGGUGUAUAUAUGUAUCUCUGAUAUAUUCAUCGGUAUGUUUUUUGAUUUUACUUCUGCUUUGUCAAGGUCAUAAAUAUGUUGAGGCUACGAAUAUUCAGCUAGGAAGAUGGAGUACAAGAGGAGCAACGCGAGAUGGCUUGUGCAACAUGCAUGAACAGAGCUGCCGCUCCAAACAGAGGUGUACUUCUAUCUCCCUGUCAUUUUUAUGUGCCUGGAUUUACAGAAGCUUCAGAGAGCACUGGGCAAUGGAUUGAAUCCUCUCUACAUACUUGACUUGCUACACUCAGGUCUGUGUCACUGGUUGUACAUGUUCGCUUCCACCAUGUGGGUGGCCACCACCACAAACUACUGUGGAACCUGGACCCCUGGGAUGUAGCCUCUCUUGCGAGUCAGGAAGAGAUGGUAGAAUAGAAACAUGGGGAGAUGGCCUGUCGAACCAGAAAGUAGUUUCCUCUACCACACAGGAGUGAGCAAAUUGAAUUGAUCUCGAAGGCUUUUUUUUUAUUAUCAUGAUGAUUCUACGAGGGGGUAGGUUAUACAUUUGUGGCGCGCUAGCAAGUGCUAAAUAAGUCUAUCGUGUAUUAGUUCAGUUGUGGUUUCAAAGUUUCAUGCUUCAUAGUUUUUUAAUUGACAUUCUCUUAGUUCAGUUUGAGUGGCAGUAUAAAAAGUUGACCGCCCUUGCCAAGGCUCUUUAUUGAUGCCU